rnacentral:rRNA from 1 species
UGUUGCUUGCAAGGGCGUAUGGUGGAUGCCUUGGCAGACAGGACCGAUGAAGGACGUUUGAGGCUGCGAUAUGCCUCGGGGAGCCGCCAACAGGGCUUUGAUCCGAGGAUUUCCGAAUGGGGGAACCCACCGACCGUCAUGGGUCGGUACCGGCUUCGGCCGGGGGGUACGCAGGGAAGUGAAACAUCUCAGUACCUGCAGGAAAGGAUAUUCCGUGAGUAGUGGCGAGCGAAAGCGGAUGAUGGCCAAACCUUGCGCGUGUGAUACCCGUCGGGGGUUGCGCGCGGGGUGUUGCGGGAUCGCGUGCGCCGGCUCCGACGGGCCGGCCGGCAGUUGCAGAAAACCAUGUGUCAGGGGAACCGGGUUGAAUACCGGGCCGCAGAGGGUGAGGGCCCCGUACCUGAACGCGCAUGGUCUGCCGAUCGCGUCUCCCAAGUAGCACGGGUCCCGUGGAACCCCGUGCGAAUCCGCCCAGACCGUUGGGUAAGCCUGAAUAUUCCUGUCUGACCGAUAGCGAACGAGUACCGUGAGGGAAAGGUGAAAAGUACCCCGGGAGGGGAGUGAAACAGUCUCUGAAACCGUGCGCCUACAAUCCGUCGGAGCCCUUUUGUGGGGUGACGGCGUGCCUAUCGAAAAAUGAGUCUGCGAGUCAGUGGCAUGUGGCGAGCAUAACCCGUGUGGGGUAUGCGUAGCGAAGGCGAGUCUUAAAAGGCGUUUGAGUCGCGUGUCCUGGACCCGAAGCGGGAUGAUCUAGCCCUGGGCAGGUUGAAGCGCGGGUAAGACCGCGUGGAGGACCGAACCCACCUGGGUUGAAAACCGGGGGGAUGACCUGGGGCUAGGGGUGAAAGGCCAAUCAAAUUCCGUGAUAGCUGGUUCUCUCCGAAAUGCAUUUGGGUGCAGCGUCGGGUCAUUACGUCCCGGGGGUAGAGCUACUGGAUGCUUGCGGGCCCGUAUCGGGUACCAACAGCAACCAAACUCCGAAUACCGGUGACGCGUAUCCCGGCAGUGAGUCGGCGGGGGAUAAGCUUCGUCGUCGAAAGGGAAACAGCCCAGACCGUCGUCUAAGGUCCCGAAGCGUGUGCUAAGUGGGAAAGGAUGUGGAGUCGCAUAGACAGCCAGGAGGUUGGCUCAGAAGCAGCCAUCCUUGAAAGAGUGCGUAACAGCUCACUGGUCUAGUGGUUCCGCGCCGACAAUGUAGCGGGGCUCAAGCACACCACCGAAGACGCGGCAGUAUUUUGUACUGGGUAGGAGAGCGUCCCAUGAGGGGCGAAGCGGCCGUGUGAACGCGCCGUGGACUUCAUGGGAGUGAGAAUGCAGACAUGAGUAGCGAGAGACGGGUGAAGAUCCCGUCCGCUGGAUGACCAAGGGUUCCAGGGCCACGUUCAUCGUCCCUGGGUGAGUCGGGUCCUAAGGCGAGGCCGACAGGCGUAGUCGAAUGGAUGAACGGGUCGAUAUUCCCGUACCGGCUUUCAGCCGCCAAAACCGAGGCUUGGAGUACUAACCUCCGGGUCCGGGCUUACUGCUCCUUCGGGGGCGGGAUGCCCUGGCCUGUUGGGACCGAUCCUUGUAGUAGGUCAGCGCAGGAGUGACGCAGAAGGGUAGCCGGCCGCGGAGGUGGUCUUCCGUGGUCAAGCACGCAGGGCGUGGGACAGGCAAAUCCGUCCCGCAUGGGUCCGAGGUGCGAUGAUGGGGGCCUUAUGGCCCGAUAUCCGGUGAUCCCGGCUGCCGAGAAAAGCUUCGGCGUCAGGCUCAAAGCCGCCCGUACCCCAAACCGACACUGGUGGUCAGGUAGAGAAUACCAAAGCGAUCGAGCGAAUCCUGGUCAAGGAACUCGGCAAAUCACUCCCGUUCCUUCGGUUUAAGGGAGACCCCCGAUGGUGAACACACUUGCUGUGGGAGCUUUUGGGGGUGGCACAGACCAGGGGGUAGCGACUGUUUACCAAAAACACAGGUGCAUGCGAAGGCGCAAGCCGCUGUAUAUGCACUGACGCCUGCCCGGUGCCGGAAGGUUAAGAGGAUCCGUCAGCCCCUUUUGGGGUGAAGCGGUGAAUUCAAGCCCCGGUAAACGGCGGUGGUAACUAUAACCAUCCUAAGGUAGCGAAAUUCCUUGUCGGGUAAGUUCCGACCUGCACGAAUGGCGUA